CUUGAGCCCUGCCCUCAACAGUGACCCUCGGGCAGAGACAAACAAGAACCAGCAGAGGCUCAACACUGGCAGUUGACUGUCCUGGACACUCAAGAGUGGACGGACACACUGAACAGAACCAGAACAGGACCCUGGAUCUUCAGCUGUAGCCAGUCUAUAAUCUGUCCUCAAUCCAAACACUACUUUACAGCCUAGCUCUUCACAGUGAAACCUCCUCUUCAUCAGCCGAGACAGCAGGCUUCCUUCACUUACCUACCAGCUGCCACAGAGGAACCACAGCGUUUACCAAGGUGGGAAGCAGGCAGUCUUGUAAUGAAAAUCACAGGAGGACUACAUCACUAUUCCCCCUUCGAGGCGGAAACCUAUUGGACUGACCAUUCUCUGACAACGUCACCAGGUCGGACCUGACAGUGACCACUGUGUGUGUGUGUGUGUGUGUGUGUGUGUGUGUGUGUGUG
ensembl:lncRNA